CAGCUUGUUGCCAAGGUCAUCGUUGACGCGUGCCAGCCGGCCGCAGCUCUCGCGAUAUUCAGCGAGAGUCUGCUCUGUUAGUCGGAGUUUCAGCUCCCACAAGGACAGUGGAAUCUUGAAAUAUGCAAGAAAAAUAUGCCUCUACAGUUGCAUAGAAGUUUGAAUUGCCAUCGUCCGUGACAUCACAUGAGACCUCAGUUUAUCUGCACAGGAGAGGCGCCCACAGUCUUUGGCAUUGCGGUCCAUUCAGAGGAUGAAAAUGUGCAAAAUGCAUUUAUAUGCAACUGCAAGCAGAGUUCCACUUAUGGAUCAAGUGAAGUUGACCAGAGUGAUCAUCUUCCAACCAUGUACGUGGACUGUUGUCAUAUCCUCAAAUCCAAGAGGAUAAUUUAAAAAAGCAGAAUCUCCCAAGCAGAACACCCAAAGAAGGUUCACAUAAGGAGCUGUCAUGGAACCCCCAAUCACUGAAAACAUGACUGUCUGGACAACAAAUCAGACUUGGCAAGGUCUGACAACUGCUGUGUUCGGUGAUGCAGAGCAGAUCGUUCAGCUCGCAGACAGGAAAAAAGCGGAGUACCAAAAAGAUAUUCUCAUCUGAGCGCUAUCAUCUUACAUGUUAACCACAAUCACAGCGCAGAUGUUGUAUUUCAAUGAUAUGUAUGGAGACGUUGUCAGACGAUGUUGCGGUUGUACAUCAUAUUUUUAGUCGAUUGAGGUUUGGAGAUGACUUCCAGUUUGUGUUCGUGGAACAUGUUGCAACCUAUAUGCCUCUAAAUAUCAUUUGGACCUUCUCAGCGGAAAACUUUGGCCACAUUUAUUAUCUUUAAAUGAUGACUAUUCACAUUUAAUUGAACGUUGCCUUUUUUGGAGCAUAUUUAAUAUUGACUGUAUGACUCUUGAUGUGCUUUUGAGCAAGGCAUCAAUAUGCAACAGAGUUGAAUUUCCCUUGAGGGACUAUAAUGAGUAUAAUCAAUGAAAGAACUGCAUUUUGGGCCUGUGCCAUGAUGGCAGUCAAAUAAGGGUACAUCAUCGAGAGGUCCUGCACAUGUACGCUUUGAUAGCGGCGAACGACCACUGCGGUGAACCGCAGGCUUGAAAAAAGUAGCCACAGUAUUUAGAGAAAAG